rnacentral:lncRNA from 1 species
CCCCGUUUCGCCUCCGCUUCGGUCUCGUGGCUUCUGGAGUCUUCUAGAUGUAAGAUAAUUGCGCGGCUUGUUAAUAUCUCUAUGUAAUCCCGACGCGUGGGCCUUUCUUCCGUAUUUCCUGAUAACCCCCUGCAGAAAUAGACAAACACCAAAACUCGUGGAAUUCUAUCAGAUAAAACCCUAAGUCUAGAUGUUGAUUUCUUUUGGAUCCUUUUCUUUAUUUAUUUGAUAAUUAAAUUUUAUACUUAAGGACCGUCAACAAACUCCCCCAAGCUUA